AGUAGGCUUGCUAACUUUCUCCUUCAUGUGUUUUUAGGUUGGAGUAAGUUAGCAGCCCCCUUCUAUAAAAUACUACUUUAUUUUGUAUGUGAAAAUAUGUUACUGACAUUGAUCAAUCUAAUUGUGACACAUGAGCCAAAUUAACUAUUUUCACUCUCUUUCAAAUCUUUUCAAUCUUUUUUCGUUUAAAAAAACUAUGUUGUCACGUGUCACACUUGAAUUGGUCAAUGGCAUGUGACAUUAUGUCACACAAGUACAAUCCGUAUUUUGUGUUCUUAUAUUUGCAUAAACAAAUUAUGUCCCGGUAUGACAGCAAUUUGAAAACUCAUGGAUAUUUUCAAAAUAACAACAUCAAUUUAGUAUUUUUAUAAAAUAUUUGUUCAUUUUAUAUGUGAAAAUCAAUUAAAUAUUUGCACCGCACUCGUUGCUAAUUUAUGUAUAUAUCCACGGAAACAAUUUUUUAUGUCCUAAUAUGAUAAUAUUUUUAAAUCCGUGGGUAUUUUUUUUUUUUUUUGUAUCUUUAAAAUACCAAUAUUAAAGUUGUAAAAUAAGAGACAAAUUUUGUCGAAAAUAAUCUUUAAGAGCAAAUACUUGGCAAAUCUUUUGUGGAUAGUUUGAUAUGAAGAUAUGUGAAUGUUUUCUAAGUGUUGAAUAUGAUGUUUAUCAUAAUGUGUUGUAUUUUCUCCUUUACUUGAAUUGUGAGAAACUGAAUGGAGUUGUUGAACUAUAUGAUAUAGUUGAUGUUGAUUAAUGCAUAUAUGUUGAUUGAUUGUGAUAUUGUUGGUGAAUACAUAUAUGUUAAUUGAUUGUGAUAUUGUUGGUGAAUGCAUAUAUGUUAAGUGAUGGUGAUGUGUUGGUGAUUUCAUAUAUGCUAAAUGAUUGAUGAUGAUGAGGUGAUGACUCUUAAUUGAUUUAUGACUUGAUUGAUUGUGUGGACGUAAAUACUUGAUAAUGCCAUUGUUGUUGAGGUGAUCAAUAUAAUUGGAGCUUAUCAUUUAUAUUGUUGUUGAAUAUUAUGAGGUGAUUUUACAUUGUCGAGUCUUUGCUUGUAUGUCCAUGCAUCAUAAUCAUGUUGAGUCUUGAUGUUGUAAAGGAGGGUUACUCUUUUACUUCGGUGAUAAUGUAAGACGGAUGUGAAAUCUUACAUAUGAUGUUUUUGUUGCAUCAUGGGUAACGAUCUUGAGGUGAUUUGGUACCACAUGCAUAUAUGUGUCGGGAAUAGCCGCAUAGCAUAAUUGGCAUGAGUCUUAAUUGUUUACAUGUGAAUGAUGAUUUUUGAUGAUAAGUGUGUUUGAUGAAUACAUACUUGUGACAUUUGGAUUGAUUGGUUGAUGAAUUGUGUCAUAAUUGAAUAUGUGACUUGAUGAAUUUGUGCAUUGGUGAAAUUGUUGAAUGAUGUGAUCUAUGUGGAUUGUGUAUAUGUACAUUUAUGGAUUUUGUUGAUAGUUGUAAAUAAAUGAUCUAUGCUCUAAUCGCAUAUCUUGCUUACUUGUGCUUAUACACUUGAUGAAUCUAUUUGAUGAUAAUUAUUUUGGUAAUAGUGAUGAGGUGAGAAUUAUAUAUGUUUUGAUGAUUUCUUUGAAAAUGAUGAUUGCUGGCUUAUAACUUUGAAAUGAUAAAUUGUGCUUGUUGAGUUAAGUAUGCUAAAUGAAGAAUAAUGUGAGUAAUCCUUUCAUUGAUUAAUUGUUGAUAAAUGAUGAGCUUAUGUCGAUGACUUGAUUAGGAAUUGAGUAUGCUUGCUAUGCUAUGUUAGUAACGUGAUAGCUUGAGAUGUAUGAGAUUGAGGAUAAUAAUCAUGUGAUGCUAGUAUUAUAGGAGGGAUGGUUAUGUAUAUGUGUUAUGCAUGAAAUCCUUGAAUGCUUAUGUUUGUUUAUGUUGAUUAUGAUUGAUGUGAAGCUUACCCACUAGAUCUGUGAUGGACCGCCUACCUGUUUGUAUGAAUGGGUAGACGGCGUGCAUGACUAGUUUGCUUUUGGUGAGUUGCUUAAUGAUUGCUAGGACAUAGCGGAAGCUAAUCUUCGUUAUCGUUUCUUGGAGUCUUAGAUUAGGCUCUGAUUAGGACGUUGAUCUUUAUGUCUUUGUUGGAUUUAUUUAUUAUGGAGAUUUUACCCAUAUGUCGGGAUUUGGAGAAUUUAUAUGAUGAUGUAUUUUGAUCUCAUGGCAUGUAUAUUUUGGAGAUGUAUGAUUUAUAUCCGCUGUGACUGUUGAGAAUUUUUAUAUAUGCAUGUAUGUUUGGUUUUGUUGAAGACGUAGCACCUAUAGUAGAAAAGUUGGUAGAAAAUAGGCUUAGAUGGUUUGAACAUGUAGAGAGAAGACCCGUAGAUGCCGUGGUAAGAAGAGUAGAUCAAAUGGAGGAGAGUCAAGUUAAAAGAGGUAGAGGAAGACCUACGAAAACUAUUAGAGAAACCAUUAGAAAGGAUUUAGAGGUCAAUAAGUUGAAUCUAAAUUUGAUGUAUGAUAGAACAUUAUGGCGUCAUUUGAUCCAUGUAGCCGACCCCACUUAGUGGGAUAAGGCUUGAUUGUUGUUGAUUAUUAUAGUCUAAAAAAACAAUUUUACGAUUGUAUAGUUUAUGGCGACAAUUGAUUGAUUGUAUAGUUUAAAACCCUACUUGACAUUUUAUUAUAUGAAUAUUAUUACAAAGAAAACAUCAACAAAUGAAUAAUUGAAAUUCCCUAGUUAGUAUUGAAGACCGACCACACGUGAACUUGUGUAUUCUCAGAAUAUUUUACCACGAACUUUGUGAUGAUGGAAUCCACCGCAAAGUUGCAAGUUGCAUUUCUUGCUGCUAAUAUAAAAUCAACUUUGCUUCUGGAAUUUUCUUAUUUUAUAUUCAGG
rnacentral:lncRNA from 1 species